rnacentral:tRNA from 1 species
GUGGGUAUAGCUUAGUGGUAGAAUGAAUGCAUUUUAACAUGCAUGAAGUCCUGGGUUCAAUCCCCAGUACCUCCG